AAUAGAUACCCAGGUAGUCCACGCCGUAAACGAUGAGUGCUAAGUGUUAGGGGGUUUCCACCCCUUAGUGCUGCAGCUAACGCAUUAAGCACUCCGCCUGGGGAGUACGGUCGCAAGACUGAAACUCAAAGGAAUUGACGGGGGCCCGCACAAGCGGUGGAGCAUGUGGUUUAAUUCGAAGCAACGCGAAGAACCUUACCAGGUCUUGACAUCCCGCUGACCGCUAUGGAGACAUAGCCUUCCCUUCGGGGACAGCGGUGACAGGUGGUGCAUGGUUGUCGUCAGCUCGUGUCGUGAGAUGUUGGGUUAAGUCCCGCAACGAGCGCAACCCUUGUCCUUAGUUGCCAUCAUUCAGUUGGGCACUCUAAGGAGACUGCCGUACAAAUACGGAGGAAGGUGGGGAUGACGUCAAAUCAUCAUGCCCCUUAUGACCUGGGCUACACACGUGCUACAAGUGGACGGUACAAACGGUCGCGAAGUCGCGAGACGGAGCCAAUCCGAAAAAACCGUUCUCAGUUCGGAUUGCAGGCUGC
rnacentral:rRNA from 1 species